UUUGCCAUUUUAAGACGCAAGAACUUUAUUUAUAGUUUGCAUUACAUCGAGCGCCGAAUAAGUAAUAAUUGAGCCUUUUGCGUGAAACUGCAACUUACGAGUAGAUAAAGGAUUAAAAUUUUUAAUUAAAAUUACAAAUUGUGAACUUUCUUUGUGUGAUAGAAUGUUGUGAUUCAGGAAAUCCUGAGGAAUUUGGAUAAUAUUAUUCUAAGACGAAGUCUACUGAAGCGCAGCUCUUUGACAGCAGAAAACAAUUCUCACUGGAGUAUGCACCUAAGUAUACUUGACUACAGCAGCAAUAUGACAUAUAUAAGACUAUGGAUCAAAGUCCUUUCGAAUACAGCAAUAGCACGACAUACACAGAACGCUCUUAUUCAAGUAAGUCUAAAGAAGAGCUAUAGAGCUUCAGUAUUGCUAAAUAUGGACCAUCAUUAAAGAAAAAGAAAAAAGAAAGCUUUGGAAUCUACAUCAGUUCUAAAGGAGAGCUGAGAUGAAAAUUGCCUGUCUACAGAUCACCAUAUUCUGUUGUGAACCGCAGAAUAAAAAAUAAUGAUCAAAUCCUGAGAAAAUAUUGAAUUAAAUUACUGUAAAUUUUAAGAGUUGCACAGUUUUUAUUGUAACUUUAUACUGAAGAAAUAAAUAGCAUUUUUAUCACUAUCUUAUUAAAUUUAGUUUUUAAAAAAGGGAUUCAAUUGAUUGUAACAAAGCGUACCAAGGGAACAUUUAAUGUUUAAGGAUGUUGGAUUAUUGGGUGGUUUCUUAAAAAUACUCUAUAUUCAUAUAUCCGUGAUCCAAGACAGAUAGCAUUUGAGUGCAUUGCUUAAUCAUUACACAAUGGUAAAAUCAUGAAAAAAACUCUCAUACAAGCCUCUUCAUCUAUAAUUAAGACUUGAAAGAAAUCAACAGUGUUCUUUGGUUUUUAUGUGUAUGGUCGUUACUAAAUACAACAUUACAAAGAAUAUUUCCAUAAAAGAUCUGCAGAAAUAAAACCAUUAUUUACAAAUUAACAAGUUGUAUAUUGAUUUAAAAAAUUUCAUUUGUUACAGUUUUGCCACUUAAAAUACAGAAGAAGAGACUAUUUUAACUGAAUAUUAAAUUA